AAUUUUAUUUAACUAAAUAAAAGAAAAAAUAAGUAAAUAACUAAGGUUCAAGAGAAUGUGACGUUACUGCACAUUUCUUCUGUGCAGAUUUGGAAUUUAUAGUAAGGGUAAUGAUAACCCAAAAACAAAUCCAUUCCUUUCUCUCUUCACUAAAUCCAUAUAAAAAAAGCACUUCUUCGACACAAACAAAUCCCUCUCGUUCUCCUUUAGUGAAAAAAAAAUGAUUCCUCCCCGAACCGUGAAUUAUGAUGACACAAUAAUGAUGGCGGCAGAGGUUACAGCUGGUGGUUGCAGCAUCGCAGAUCCGAUGCAAAGGUCGGCGUGUACGGAGGUUCACAGUGGAUUCAGAUGACGGCGUCGCGGCUGUUUCCGAGCAAACGUCAAGGUAGAUUUGCAGUUGUAUUUCUGGCCGACGGGGGUGGUGAUCGAUCGUGUGCUUUACAACAAAGGGAUUGCCUACUGGGAUUUGGGUUGCAGAGAUGGUAACAACUUUAGUCAUAGUGAUUUUGUACGACUAUGGAUGAUUGGAAAGUGUGAAUAUGUGUGCUAUUUAUAGAUGGAGAAUUAGGUCAAGAAUUAAAUGAGAUUAUCUAUUUUUAGAAAUAUCUAAUUUGACC